GUUCUGCGUGAGGGAGUGCAGCGGAAAUCCUUUUUUAUUCUUUUUUAAGAAUAAAAAAGAUUGAGAGCGAAAAGCCCGACCCGGA
rnacentral:sRNA from 1 species